rnacentral:rRNA from 1 species
UACGUAGGGGGCUAGCGUUGUCCGGAUUCAUUGGGCGUAAAGAGCGUGUAGGCGGCCAGGUAGGUCGGUUGUGAAAACUGGAGGCUCAACCUUCAGAGGUCGACCGAAACCAUCUGGCUAGAGUCCGGGAGAGGAGAGUGGAAUUCCUGGUGUAGCGGUGAAAUGCGCAGAUAUCAGGAAGAACACCCGUGGCGAAGGCAGCUCGCUGGGACGGUACUGACGCUGAGGCGCGAAAGCGUGGGGAGCGAACAGG